rnacentral:lncRNA from 1 species
AGUGAGAGGUAUUUUAUUCCAUACUUCUCUUGUGUCUAACCUUACUGAUUUCUAUUUACUUGUGUCUUACUUAUUGUAUUUUUUCAAUAGGUUAUAAGCCCAUAGACACUUGAUUGAGCUUUUCAAGUAAGUUGAAGUUAUUUUCUCGUUGUUGAUCUUGUGUGGAAUAGAUCUUAUAGUGUUUGCUAAUGUUAGGAUUUGUAUGAUCUAAUCUUGUAUUUUGGCUUGUAGAAGUUUUGAUUUGGGCCUUAUAGAUCCCUAACAUUUAUUUGAAGGUUCUUAAUUCUUAGGAUUGAAUGAUUAAGACCUUAUACAAAGACCUUAAUAGUGUCUCUGGUGUUGUGGAAGUUUUAGUGAGAAAG